GACAAGAAGCUUUUGGACUAUGCGCUUCGAGUUUGUCAAAACUUGAUCGUCAGCAGAAAGUUUCGUGAAAAGGCUCUGCGCUUGAUGGUAGACUUGUACAAGCAGCUUGACCAGCCUGACUGGUUGGUGAUCAGCCA
rnacentral:ribozyme from 1 species